rnacentral:rRNA from 1 species
CAGUAGCGUAUAUUAAAGUUGUUGCAGUUAAAAAGCUCGUAGUUGGAUUUCUGGCAUGGUGCGAUUGGCCCGCCACGGUUACGUGGUGAGUGCCGACGCGCGCCUGCCAUCCUUCUAGAGAACGUGUCGGCCAUUCGUUUGGUCCGGCUCGCAAUCUAGAACUUUUACUUUGAAAAAUUAGAGUGUUUAAAGCAGGCUUGCGCUAUGAAUACACUAGCAUGGAAUGACAACAUAGGGCUUCAGUCUUAUUUUGUUGGUUUCUAAGAUUGAAGUAAUGAUUGAUAGGGAUAGUUGGGGGUGCUAGUAUUCAACGGCCAGAGGUGAAAUUCUUGGAUUCGUUGAAGACUGCCUAAAGCGAAAGCAUUCACCAAGGAUGUCUUCUUUAAUCAAGAACGAAAGUUGGGGGAUCGAAGAUGAUCAGAUACCAU